ACGCUCGACACCUACGGGAGGAGCAGUGAGGAAUAUUGGUCAAUGGGCGCUAGCCUGAACCAGCCAAGUAGCGUGAAGGAUGAAGGCUCUAUGGGUCGUAAACUUCUUUUAUAUAAGAAUAAAGUGCAGUAUGUAUACUGUUUUGUAUGUAUUAUAUGAAUAAGGAUCGGCUAACUCCGUGUCAGCAGCCGCGGUAAUCUGAGCGGGCUGGCAAGGC
rnacentral:rRNA from 1 species